AAUCACCGACGUCCGGCUGUUUUGGGACGAGCUCUCUUAUAAAGGGGGAUUUAUGGUGCCAGUGAAAAUGAUUGAGGGGAGGGAUCUGUCUCCCCCUCUUCAGUCUCUGCGUCAGUGUCGGGAAGUCUGGCCUCCAACCACACCGGGAAGGACACCAGUUAUCACCUGCACACUCGUGAACUCGCAGCUUUGACAAAGUGCUGCAUUCAACACAAGCUUGAUGUUUAACCGGCCCAAUUCCUGUUUGUCAGGACACUCGACAGUGAACGGAAGGCUAGACACGAUCGUCUGAGAAACUUGAUGACUCAGCGCGGCUCUUCAGGCAGACUGCCUCAGUAAGGUGUCUUGAAGAACUAAAGAAGUCUUCCAUAUUGACCAAUAAGCAACAGAGGUCACUUGAGGUAGAGACCCACCGAACCGACGCCAACGAAGAAGCGCAGACUGCGAGCUCUGCUCACAUUGCAAAAUACUUUUAUUUUUCUCAUAAAGCAUACAUCACAUGACUAACAUGCAUAUAUACAAAAGUGGUCACUAGGAGAGUACCUGUACCAUUUGGUACACAUAUGUACCUUUAAAGUAGUAACAGUAUUCCCUGUUUUAGGAUCAAAAGUGUACAUUUUGAAAAGGUACAGCUACAACUUUUGUACCUCCUUUUUGAGAGGGA